rnacentral:tRNA from 1 species
GACUGGGUGGCUCAGUCGGUAGAGCAUGUGACUUUUGAUCUCGGGGUUGUGAGUUUAAGCCCCACAUUAGGCA